AGGGAAAACCGCAAGCAGCAGCUCCGCUGUCACGCUGUGCCGUGAAACCAGGCACAUUCCCAGGUUAGUGCUCAAAGCACUGCAGCGGUAUGGUUACCCCACAGCCAACCCCGGCCGCGGCCCGUGCGCGGGCUGCUCCGCCCUGCCUGCUGCACGGUCCCACCGCCGCGGCGGUGCCCACGGGCAGCCCGGGCAGGUCUCCCGCCAGGCUGCCAACGCCGUUUCCCCGCCUCCGCCACUGCGUUGUGGGAACCGCCGGCCCCGAGCCCGCCUCAGCCGCGCUCGUCCCGCUCUCAUGCGCCUGAGGCCCCUUCUCAGAGAGACCGCGGCCCGGCCCUGAGGUGGCCGCUCGAGCCCCGCGACCACUAACAGCCAGCUCGCACCGCGGCCCAGGCCCGCUCACCCCGGCAACAAGCCUCCGCCGUGGCGCCUCCGCUCGCUCCGGUUCAGCCUCCAUCCGCCGCCGCCGCCGCCGGUGCUUCCGGCAGACAGCCCGCCCCAACAACCACCACCCUCAGCUGCCCGGCCGCCGGCCCACACCACCCCGCGGGUUCGGCCUGCGCCGGGCCUGUCCCUUUCAACACUGCGCCAGCCCCGGGUCCUGUCCACACGGAACCCGGCCUGUGCCCGGGGGCGCCUCUCCCGGCCCCUCGGGGCAGCCUGGGGCCUGGCCCAGGAGCCGGAGGCAGCGGGCAGGCUGCGCACCUCCUAAAGACUGGCUCAUCACCGGCUGGGUGUUCUGCCAUCAGCCGGCGGUGUAUUGCCACGCUUGGUGCUCCUGGUAACCAUAUACGUAUCCAGCCUUGUUAGCAGUCUUGAAACCUUGGCCUAACAGUGACAGCGGAACUACAGUUUCUCAGCACAAUGCAUAAUCUUUAACACUGCUUUCCAGACGGAGCAGCUGGUCCCCAGAGCACUCAAUGGAGGGAUGAAAUAUAAGCUCAGCGAUCAUUACACGUAUGCCUUUCUAGCUAAAUUGUGCAGAGAUUUCCACUGAGCUGCAUAAAACAACCCCUGGUCCCUUUCUUGGCUGGACAGAUGCAUAAAUUGUAAGUAGAUCUGGGUUUAGCUCCACAUGUUAAAUAAACAUUUCUUCAGUACUUUG